rnacentral:rRNA from 1 species
AUACGGAGGGUGCAAGCGUUAUUCGGAAUCACUGGGCGUAAAGGGUGCGUAGGCGGUUUGAUAAGUCUGAUGUGAAAUCCUAUGGCUCAACCAUAGAACUGCAUUGGAAACUGUCAGACUAGAAUACUGAAGGGGCAGAUGGAAUUAGUGGUGUAGGGGUAAAAUCCGUAGAUAUCACUAGGAAUACCGAAAGCGAAAGCGAUCUGCUGGGAAGUUAUUGACGCUGAGGCACGAAAGCGUGGGGAGCAAACGGGAGUAGAAACCCUAGUAGUCC